rnacentral:rRNA from 1 species
GGCGCACGGGUGCGUAACGCGUAUGUAACCUACCUAUAACAGGGGCAUAACACUGAGAAAUUGGUACUAAUUCCCCAUAAUAUUCGGAGAGGCAUCUCUCCGGGUUGAAAACUCCGGUGGUUAUAGAUGGACAUGCGUUGUAUUAGCUAGUUGGUGAGGUAACGGCUCACCAAGGCAACGAUACAUAGGGGGACUGAGAGGUUAACCCCCCACACUGGUACUGAGACACGGACCAGACUCCUACGGGAGGCAGCAGUGAGGAAUAUUGGUCAAUGGACGCAAGUCUGAACCAGCCAUGCCGCGUGCAGGAAGACGGCUCUAUGAGUUGUAAACUGCUUUUGUACGAGGGUAAACUCACCUACGUGUAGGUGACUGAAAGUAUCGUACGAAUAAGGAUCGGCUAACUCCGUGCCAGCAGCCGCGGUAAUACGGAGGAUUCAAGCGUUAUCCGGAUUUAUUGGGUUUAAAGGGUGCGUAGGCGGUUUGAUAAGUUAGAGGUGAAAUCCCGGGGCUUAACUCCGGAACUGCCUCUAAUACUGUUAGACUAGAGAGUAGUUGCGGUAGGCGGAAUGUAUGGUGUAGCGGUGAAAUGCUUAGAGAUCAUACAGAACACCGAUUGCGAAGGCAGCUUACCAAACUAUAUCUGACGUUGAGGCACGAA